AGCCACAUUAUUGAUCUGCUCAUCAUGUCCUCCUUCCCCCCGAUCAUUGUCCCCAAGCUAACCUGAGCUUCCUAAAGCCCACAGAGAGCUUGCCAUGGCCUCGGGAACACUCAGACUCUUGCCUACUCCUCCAGCCUGGCGCUAAAGAGGCACCCCCCACAAAAAAUUUGCUGAAUAAAGGACUGAGUGAUGUCAUUGGGCCACAAUUGACUCCUGGGGCUCUCUUGUCCCUUCAACUCCACCUCUCAUCUGCAUGUGUGAACCUCCCAGUUGGACUGGAAAAAGGUUUAGCUCCUCUCUUUAUCCUGCAAGGAAGCUCUGCAGGAAACUCUCCAAGAGGACAAUAAGCCCCCUUGCCUUUGCAAAAACAUUUUAAUACCUGUUAUUUUCAGCUGAGUCCCGCACAGAUCGGCAGCACCGGUUUUGAAGGCCACGUGUACUCCAGGAGUUGGCCAUUUUGCAGAUUCUUGUCACCAACGGUACCACUGCUCCGCCUUGAAUGCUGUCUCCCCUGAGCUGUGAGUCCCAGGGCAGAUGCUACCCUUCUCACCCUGUGUCCCAGCUCCAGUCACACCCACUGGUCCAAUGUGGGCUGGCACAGAAGACUGCAGGCCUGGGGGUGCCCAGCACUGGGACUGGAGAUCAGAACACCUGACUUCAAAGUCUGGUUUGAGCACUUUCUAGCUGUGUGCCCUUGGGUAAGUCUUUGGUCAUGCUGAGCCUUGGUUUCUUUCACUGUAAAAUGGGAUCCUAAAGUGCCAACUCGGCCGGGUGUGGUGGCUUCAUGCCUAUAAUCCCAGCACUUUGGAAGGCUGAGGGGGGCGGGUG
rnacentral:lncRNA from 10 species